rnacentral:rRNA from 1 species
AUUGAACGCUGGCGGCAUGCUUUACACAUGCAAGUCGGACGGCAGCACAGAGAAGCUUGCUUCUUGGGUGGCGAGCGGCGAACGGGUGAGUAAUAUAUCGGAACGUACCGAGUAAUGGGGGAUAACUAAUCGAAAGAUUAGCUAAUACCGCAUAUUCUCUGAGGAGGAAAGCAGGGGACCUUCGGGCCUUGCGUUAUUCGAGCGGCCGAUAUCUGAUUAGCUAGUUGGUGGGGUAAAGGCCUACCAAGGCGACGAUCAGUAGCGGGUCUGAAAGGAUGAUCCGCCACACUGGGACUGAGACACGGCCCAGACUCCUACGGGAGGCAGCAGUGGGGAAUUUUGGACAAUGGGCGCAAGCCUGAUCCAGCCAUGCCGCGUGUCUGAAGAAGGCCUUCGGGUUGUAAAGGACUUUUGUCAGGGAAGAAAAGGCUGUUGCUAAUACCGACAGCUGAUGACGGUACCUGAAGAAUAAGCACCGGCUAACUACGUG